GGGAUAUGUUUAAAGCCACUUUGGAGGACUCUUCUGUCAGUGUGUAGGAUUAUGCUGAGUAUGUGACUGGGUACAUUAGCACUUGUGUUGUUAACAUCGUACACACCACACAAGUCAGGAAGUUCCCCAAUCAGAAGCCCUGGAUAAACAGUCAGGUACGCCAAAUGCUGUGUGCUUGAUCUCUUGCAUUUACAUCAGGCAACGAGACAGAGUACAAAGCUGCAAAGUACGGACUGAGAAAAGCCAUUACAGCGGCUAAAAUACAGUACAGAGAGAAGUUGAACAGUUUCUACUCUAAUGCUGAUGCCGGGCGGAUGUGGCAAGGCAUGCAGCACAUCACAGACUACAGGACCACCAUGAGCACUACUAACAGCUCCUCAGACAGCCUACCGGAUGACCUCAACACCUUCUACGUCCGCUUCGAGACCUCCAGCAUCGACACAGAGAGGAGGCACACACACUCAGACCACUCAACCCCCCUCCCCCCUCAUACGGUCUCAUCAGCUCUGGUACACAAAAAGCAGAGGAAAAUCAACCCCCGAAAAGCAGCAGGGCCAGACAACAUCCCUGGACGGGCCCUCAGAGUUUGUGCUGUUGAGCUGGCUGAUGUACUCACUUCCAUUUUCAACCUCUCCCUCAGUCAGAGCAUUGUCCCCACCUGCUUCAAGAUCAUGGACAUUGUCCCCCUUCCCAAGAAGAGCCCCCCGACCUGCCUGAACGACUACAGGCCAGUAGCACUUACUCCAAUCAUUAUUAAGUGUUUUGAGAGAGUGGUGCUGACCCACAUUCAGAGCAGUAUGCCGGACAUACUGGACCCACUGCAGUAUGCAUAUCGGCCCAACAGGUCCACCUCAGACGCCAUUGCUGCUGCAUUCCAUAUUUCCCUUUCUCACCUUUCUCACCUGGAAGAUAAGGACACUUAUAUCAAGAUGCUCUUUAUUGAUUAUAGCUCCGCCUUCAAUACGGUCAUCCCUCACAAACUCACCCAGAAACUGAUUGCACUUGGACUACAUCCCACACUCUGUGACUGGCUCCUAGACUUUCUGACUGGCAGACUGUCAGACUGGCAGACUGUCAAUCCUAAC
ensembl:lncRNA